rnacentral:rRNA from 1 species
UGCUGGAUCAUUAUUCCCCAUGUGAUCUCAC